AUAAAUAGGAUCUAAUUCAUAUUAAAUCUGCUGAAGAAUAAUUCCAUAAGAACAAAAUCCAAACGGAUAAAAAUUAUCACUUGUACAAUCAUACUUUAUCGGCAAAUACUUUCCAUGAUUCGCAAGACAUAUCUUAAAGAAUUUAACAGUAGAGAUGAACAAAUCAGUAGAGAAAAGAAUUCAAUCCACAAAGCCUAAAGCCAACCAACUCCCUUGGGUAGCUCAAGCCAACAAAUAACCCGAAAAAAAAAGGGAAAAAAAAAAAACACUGACCCACCCAAAACUUACAGAUGGUUAAAAAGAUGGAAGCUUUUCGCAUAGAUCUAAGUCCUGUAAUAUUGGGUCAUUCACUCAUUCAGUGAUCUCUUACUUCAGGAAUGAUCAGAGAAAAUGAAAAGAACAGUGGUCUUCAUGGUACAAUUUAUAAACGGCGAGAGAGAGAAGGGCAGAUAGUUAUGUACACAUGUAUAUAUAUACACAAGGGUGCAUCUAUAGAAAGAUCGAGAGAAAAAGGUCCGCAAGGAUUAAAGAGAGAGCAUGAGUUUGUAGAUGAAAUUGAGAAACUGAAAUGCAAAAUUGAAAUGAUCCUGAAAUUUACGCGAAAUGAAGUUGAAAUGCGAGUCAAAUGUUGAGACUUUUGAAAGUGUUAGAAAUAGGGCGCGUUUGGCCGGUGGAGGUUGGCCCACAAUUUUCUACUAUUAUUUUUGGG
rnacentral:lncRNA from 1 species